GGGCAGGUGGCAGAGCGGUCGAUUGCGCACGCUUGGAAAGCGUGUGUACCUCACGGUACCGGGGGUUCGAAUCCCCCCCUGCCCG
rnacentral:tRNA from 1 species